ACGGGAGGCAGCAGUGGGGAAUAUUGCACAAUGGGGGAAACCCUGAUGCAGCGACGCCGCGUGAGCGAAGAAGUAUUUCGGUAUGUAAAGCUCUAUCAGCAGGGAAGAAAAUGACGGUACCUGACUAAGAAGCUCCGGCUAAAUACGUGCCAGCAGCCGCGGUAAUACGUAUGGAGCAAGCGUUAUCCGGAUUUACUGGGUGUAAAGGGAGCGCAGGCGGUUUUGCAAGUCUGAAGUGAAAGCCCGUGGCUCAACCGCGGGACUGCUUUGGAAACUGUAAAACUAGAGUAUCGGAGAGGCAAGUGGAAUUCCUAGUGUAGCGGUGAAAUGCGUAGAUAUUAGGAGGAACACCAGUGGCGAAGGCGGCUUACUGGACGAUAACUGACGUUGAGGCUCGAAAGCGUGGGGAGCAAACAGGAUUAGAUACCCUGGUA
rnacentral:rRNA from 1 species